UAUAUGGAGAGUUUGAUCCUGGCUCAGGACGAACGCUGGCGGCGUGCCUAAUACAUGCAAGUCGAGCGGACAGACGGGAGCUUGCUCCCUGAAGUCAGCGGCGGACGGGUGAGUAACACGUGGGCAACCUGCCUGUAAGACUGGGAUAACUCCGGGAAACCGGGGCUAAUACCGGAUAAUUCUUUCCCUCACAUGAGGGAAAGCUGAAAGAUGGUUUCGGCUAUCACUUACAGAUGGGCCCGCGGCGCAUUAGCUAGUUGGUGAGGUAACGGCUCACCAAGGCAACGAUGCGUAGCCGACCUGAGAGGGUGAUCGGCCACACUGGGACUGAGACACGGCCCAGACUCCUACGGGAGGCAGCAGUAGGGAAUCUUCCGCAAUGGACGAAAGUCUGACGGAGCAACGCCGCGUGAGUGAUGAAGGUUUUCGGAUCGUAAAACUCUGUUGUUAGGGAAGAACAAGUACCGGAGUAACUGCC
rnacentral:ncRNA from 1 species